UCUCCUUCCAUUUCCAGGCUGUCGGAGGCCAAGCAGCAGCAAAGCCUCGCCAGGCAGGGCCUGAGCCAGCUCCAGCAGCUGCUGCAGGAGGAGCGGGAGAGGCGGCUGGCGGCCGAGGAGGCUUCCUCUGCAGCCCAGGAGCAGAUCCGCAGGUGGGAGUCGGAGGAGUAUGCGCAGUCUCUGGAGACCAGCAUUGCCAUGCCGCCCAGCCAUGAGCACGCCCGGCUGCUGGGGUCUGCCGAGAGCGCCUUCAGCAAGGCUCGAGGGCCCCGGGGGCUGCCGCGUGUCCUGCGCUCUCUCUUCUGCCCCCGGAGGCUGUUCUCCCUGCUGGCCACCCUCUACCUCCUCGGGAUCCACCUGCUGAUAUUCCUGCACGCCGUGGGACGCCUGUGAGAAGACCGAGGCACCGGAACUUGGCUGGACCGCGGACCCCGAUGCCUGGCGGCAGGGGUGGAGGGUUGACCCUGCUGGUCUGGACACCAGGGUGGGGGGGCUUCCCGCGGCCUGGUUGAGGCCGCCAGAGGUCAAGCCCAAUCCUGGUUAGUUAAAGCAGGCGACGGACUUCCUCAGCCCUUGGCGAUGCAGGGUUUGUGCCGCUCCUUCAAGGGAAGCGCCAGGGUUUCGCCGGCCAACUUGGGGUUUCACAUCAUCAGUCCACCGUUGAUUUUGGGGGGUGGGUGGGCAGGAAAGGGCGGAGAGACGACGAUGCCCGC
rnacentral:lncRNA from 1 species